UGAGCACUUAGUAUGUGUUAGGCUUAAUGUUUCUGUGCUAAGUUUAUUUUCUUUUGUGACACAGUACAGUCCUUUUCUACACCAAUAAGGUAAAAGCCAUUUGUAAAUAGAUGUUUCAGUGCCUUCAAUCCUGCAUUUUUAAAGCCAAGCUCUCCAGCAGGACUCAACUCAGUCCUCUGCCUCAGACCCACCUUCACCUCUCCACAUCUAGAUGGAAGGGGGCUUACGAGUCUCCUUGCUUGAGGCAGCUCUCCAAGGAAGUUGCAAUGAUUGUUCUUCUUGGAGUAUUUCUUGGUAAGGUAUUUCAAGGGCCCUUUAGAGAACUGCUUCUCAGAGAAAACAAUGAUGACUUUUGUGAAGUGUUCUCAGUAAACAGCAUUCUCCAGGUUUCAGGUUUCCAGUGCCUUUGGCCUUCUCUUUUGAUGAUGGUUCUGGUUUCUAGGAUCAAAAGUCCUUUCUUCCCCAGGAGGACCCCAGGUGCCAGGCUCCAUGUUUCCUGAUGCUCUGUAGGCACAAGGGACAUUGGUAAGGAAAGCGUACUGCACCCUCUCACUGUCUCAUCAAAUCCUCCCCACAACCCCAGCACCAGCUCCAUUUUACAGAAGAGGAAUCUGAAGCAAGAGAGGGUAAGUAACUUGCCCAGGGUCACACAGUUAGGCGAUGGUGCAGGCUAAUGCUUCCCAUGCACUGUGGUUGGCACUGGGGGAUGAAUGAGACACACACAGCCCCAUUCCUUGACACACUUCAGGGCUUCCCCGGACAGCUGACCUAUCCCCAUGCAUCACCCCUGCAGACACACCCCACACAUGUGUGGGCAUACCCAUGACAUCACUGAUCUCUGCAACAUAGUGGUUGCCCUCUCCACUGUGCACCGCCCGGUACUGGACUUGUCCAUCUGGACUUCACUGGCAAGGCAAGGCCUUUGACCUGAAGGGGAGGGAUUCUUCUUUCUUGCCUUAGGAAGAUCACAUGGAUCCCGAAGCUGUGCAGCUCCUAGAGACUAAGACCCUCCUCUUACAGAUGGACGCCACAGACAGACCCAUAACACACGGAACUCAUAUAAGCCACUGCUCGCCCAGAAAAUGUCAGGUCAUAGUGCUUGGCCAGUCACCUCCUUCCAUCCCCGGCAUCAGGCCUGCCCUCCGGAGCUGCUGCUGCUUUCUCCAGGGCUGGGGCACAGGUCUACUCUGUGGAGGUCUUACCUGUCCUUCAGUCCCCAUACCCUAGACACAGCAUGCUGGCCCCCAGCCUCUGGUGCUUCUGCUGUAGGGUGUCAGGAAUGCAUAGGGUGUGGGGUGUAGGUUCUGCUAUAGGGUGUUCAGCAUAGGCCAGAGAUACAGAAAGGAGGGAGGAGGAAGGAGGUGGCCAUUCCCAUGAGCCCAGGAGGACCCCUGAUUGGGGUGAGGCUGGCAGUCUCCUAUGUCCCUGUAUCCUUUCUAGUGACUUGGCUGACUCCAUUAUGGGCUCUUCUUCUAGCCCUGCUGCCAGUGUGGUCCUGACAGCCUGGGGUAAUCCACUGUCUUAGAAGGUGUUCAUUCAUUACUCUUCUCUUGGAAACUAUCUGAGGUUUCCCUAAGGGAAAGACAGAGGGAGAAGGAGGUGGCUGGAGCUGGACCACUCACUGCAUUUUUUAUUUCUCUCGUUGGCACCCAGAACUUUCCCAGGGACGUAGGCCUCUAACUGGACCUGGAGAAUCCUAACUACUUGUGGUGUAGACACAUGGUUGCUGGCCUACGGCCUUUGGACUCCUUCAAGUUUUCCCCAUAGGGGAUGCAAUGGCACUGGGAUUGGGCAGCUGGACACAGCUUCUUCUUGGUAGGUCCAGGCAGUGAGCAAUGCAGGGGGCAGAGCUGGAUCCAAGCCCUGGAUCUGCCGCUGGUACACUGUUGACAUCAGGGGAGUCACUUUGUCUCGUCCUGAGUUUCUUCAUCUGUGAAGUGGGCCUAAAUAAAGCUAUCUCCUAGAGUUACGAGGUUUGAGGAGUGCAUAGGUCAAAAGGGGCUUUGUGAACAGUCAAGUACUGCCCAUAUGAAGUAUGAAGUACUUUGCCAAGGUGUGUGGCCACCCCAAGCUGGCCCUCAGCCACCUUGGGAGUUGGUGAGGUUUGUCUUCCAGGCUGAUCUCAGCCCCCCUUUGUGCCUUAUCCUGACUUUCAGUCCUGUGCUUCUCUCCCACAUAGGUGCCACUAUUGCUGUGUUGCUGCCUUUCCUAAGACAGGACACAUUUCUUUUCAAAUGAGAUGGCUAGACAGGACAAUGCUUAACUCCAGGGCAGGCUCUGCAGUGGCACCCCGACUCCUGCACAGAGGAAAUGUGAUGCCCACAUUAUGCAGCCUGACCACAGACUCCCUCCAUGGUUUUCACAGAAUCCUUAGCUGGUGGAGCUGAAAGAGACCUGCAAGAGUCCUUUCACCUUCUGCCAAGCAGUCAGGGUUUAAUCUUUGCAGCUGCCCUGGAGGUGUUUACCAUGUCCCCCAUUUUCCAGAAGGCGAAGCUGGGACAUGGAUUAGGUCAGCUGUCCAAGGUCAUGGAGCAGGAUCCAAAGGAGGCCUGGAGAGUGCCAUCUGUCUGGCCCCUUCUUUGUGCUGCCUCUAGAGGAUACUGGGGAAGCCUCCUCUUGUCUGACUCUGCCAGGAUACCCUUGGCCAUCAAGUGCUCAGCUAAGCCACAGUGCCACUCUGGGUCAGGCCGACCUGGGCCCAGCUGUGCAGGAUGAGGUACAGGAGGCAGCUGCCACAGCUGCUUCCAUUCAACAUGGCCUUUUUCCCAGUGGGCUUGGUGCCACCCAGGGCUUCGCUCAGGAGGGUGGGGAGUGAUCAGGGCACCAUGGUUCAGACUGAUUAUGUGACCUUAGGAGGAACUGAUGGGUGAAGUGAAGCAGGGGUAGGGCAAGGGAAAAAGUGGCCCAGAAGCUUCAGAAGAGAAGGAGAGCCAGACCCUUGUCAGUGGACAAGGGCUCCUGAUUUUAGGAAAGCUGAGUGCAAAACCAGACCAAGAAAAGAGAGCUCAGAUUCUGUCUAUGGGCACAAACCUCGGAAAGGGUCCAGAACUCCCCAAAUGAACUAUGGAUGGCUCCAUAGUCAGAGAUUCACAACCCAGGGGUCUAGCAGGAGCUCAUAUCUGACCGGAAGGCUGGGAGGACUGGUAAGCUCCAUGACAGGGCAGGCCCAGGUAAGCAAGACAGGUGGGAGAAACCCCGAAAGGCUUCUAGCCUGUUUAGAGGAAGAGAAGCCCAGGAAGAAUGGACUCACUGCCUUGGCAGGUAGAGAACUAGAGGCUUGGAGUUCUGCUUGGAAUCCCUAACCUGGAAAAGUAUCUCAGAUAGGGCAGGGCAGGUAUCACAGCACAAUGGCUAAGCUCAGGCACAGGUGGUCUACAGACCUGGCUUUGACCCGCGGCUCUUCUCUUUGCUAACUUUCCACAUUCAUAGGCAGUGGAGUGGAGUGGCUGUGAACACAGAUUCUAUAGAGCCAGACUUCCUGGGUUCAAAUGGCAGCUUCGCCAGUGAUCACCUGGGGAAUCACCCAGGUGCUGUGAUGGUUGAUUUUAUGUAUCAGCUUGACUGGGCUAAGGAAUGCUCAGAUAGCUGAUAAAACUAUUUCUGCGUGUAUCUGUGAGGGUGUUUCUGGAAGAGAUCAGCAUUUCAAUCAAUCAAGUGAGUGAGAAGACCACCCUCACCAGAGCAGGUGGGCACCAUCCAGUCCACUGAGGGCCUGAAUAGAAUGAAAGGCAGGGGAAAGGGAGAAUUUAUUUUCUGUUUGAGCUAGGACAUUCAUCUUCUCCUGCCCGUGGACAUUGGCACUCCUGGUUCUCAGGCCUUGGGCCUCGGAAAAGUACUUAGGCCCCCAUCCCCACCCCACCCACCCACUCUUAGGCCUUGGGACUUGGACUCAGACUGAAUUAUGCCGCCAGUCUUCUGGUUCUCUAGCUUACAGAUGACAGAUCGUGGGACUUCUUAGCUUCUGUAAUUGCGUGAGCCAGUUCCUAUAAUCAAUCAAUCUAUCUAUUUAUCAAACAAUUUAUCUAUCCUAUUGGUUCUGUUUCUCUGGAAAACUCUGACUAAUAAAGAUGCUUAGCCCC